rnacentral:rRNA from 1 species
UACGUAGGGUCCGAGCGUUGUCCGGAAUUAUUGGGCGUAAAGGGCUCGUAGGCGGCCAACUAAGUCGGAUGUGAAAUCCCCAGGCUUAACCUGGGAACUGCAUCCGAUACUGGAUGGCUUGAAUUCGGGAGAGGGAUGCAGAAUUCCAGGUGUAGCGGUGAAAUGCGUAGAUAUCAGGAAGAACACCAAUGGCGAAGGCAGCUCUCUGGGACGGUACUGACGCUGAGACGCGAAAGCGUGGGGAGCGAACAGG